rnacentral:rRNA from 1 species
AUGAGUAUCUUAACUUGGAACUGCCGCGGGGCUGGCAAACCCGCGACAGUUCAUGAGCUUCGUGACCUCACGAGGCAACAUGCCCCCUCUAUCUUAUGUAUUCUUGAAACUCAAAUAGAGGGCUCGAGAGUGGAGAAUCUAGUAGGUACUCUAGGGUUCAAUAAAAGUUAUGCUAUAAGCAGUUCUGGUAGGAGUGGUGGAAUUGAAUUUUUUUGGAAAGAUGAAAUAAAAGUUAAGGUUAUCGGUUAUUCGGAAUAUCACAUUGAUGUUACAAUCGAAGAUCUAGCUGAAACACAGUUUAGGGCCACCAUCGUCUAUGGAGAGGCCCAAGUGAAUGAGCGUUACAAGAUGUGGAACAUGCUCCCUUUUAGGUUGGCUUGCGCUAUCCAACAAAGACACAUAUGCCUCCUGCAAGUACACAUGCGUUAG